UACAGAGGCCCCAAGCGUUACUGAGAAUCACUGGGUUUAAAGGGUGCGUAGGUGGCGCGUUAAGUCCGUUGUGAAAGCCCUGGGCUCAACCCAGGAACUGCUUCGGAUACUGGCGCGCUUGAGGCUAGUAGGGGUCACUGGAACUGACGGUGGAGCGGUGAAAUGCGUAGAUAUCGUCAGGAACGCCAAUGGUGAAGACAGGUGACUGGGCUAGUUCUGACACUGAGGCUCGAAAGCGUGGGGAGCAAACAGG
rnacentral:rRNA from 1 species